rnacentral:lncRNA from 7 species
UUUUAAGGACAUAUGCCUGCACAACCGUUUCACUGCCAGGCUCUUCAAAAGCACAAGCAGAGUAAGAGAGGUUGGAUCCUUCUGGUGGCAAUUCAGUACGUCUUUCAAUGGCCCAGCCACAACCAGGUUAAGUAGGACUUCAGCAGUACAAGCAUGAACAGGCAGAGCACGCUGGCUAUGAUUACAUCAGAAGACUGAGGGAUGCACACAAUCUCCCUGCUGUCAAGCCACAAAGCAGGAAUUCCCAAGUGAUGUCAGAGUAAGGUCUGCUCAAUACGAGGAGCCUUUGACACGGAAGCAGAAGUUUUCCAAGCUGUACUUUGAAGUGUGGAACCACUACUGGGAGAAUUUUGUUCUGGCCUCGCUAACGCCUCUGAGAGCUUCAACCUGACUGGGCCCACUGCUGGAUAAUGCCAUAUUACACAUGUAUUUCAAGUGUUUGGCAAAGAUUUGAGUGCAUGAGCAGGUGGAGAGUAGAAGCAAGGACAGAAAAAUCAAGAAGGAUUUACCAGAGCACAGGAGUGGGACGUGCACAGAGAUAUCCUUUAAAUGGAAUAAGCAGCCUCCUCCAGACAUAUCUGAUGACAAGAAAGUGUACCAAGCU